GCCUCUGUAGUGUAGUGGUAGCACGCCUCCCUCCCCCCUCCCCCCUUACCCCUUAUGGGUGAAACGAGGGAUCAACUCCCUCGUGAGGUC